rnacentral:sRNA from 1 species
AUUAUCCGCACAAGGCAAUCACGUAUGUGGGGUCAACCAACUUAUCUCUGCAAGCUUGUACAGAAAGAUAAUUAUGCCAAUAGCCUUGUACAGUUCUGAAUUAUGGAAUAAUCUCAUUGUCUCUGAUUCUACUGCAAUAUCCCGUUUUCAGCAUUCUGCAGUAAAACGUAUACAAGGGCUUCCCAAAUCUACCCGUUCUGAUAUGGCAGAAUCCAUGCUAGGACUUAACCGACUCAUGUCCUAGCAUG